GACGAACGCUGGCGGCGUGCUUAACACAUGCAAGUCGAACGGAAAGGCCCUGCUUUUGUGGGGUGCUCGAGUGGCGAACGGGUGAGUAACACGUGAGUAACCUGCCCUUGACUUUGGGAUAACUUCAGGAAACUGGGGCUAAUACCGGAUAGGAGCUCCUGCUGCAUGGUGGGGGUUGGAAAGUUUCGGCUGUUGGGGAUGGACUCGCGGCUUAUCAGCUUGUUGGUGGGGUAGUGGCUUACCAAGGCUUUGACGGGUAGCCGGCCUGAGAGGGUGACCGGCCACAUUGGGCCUAGGAUACGGUCCAGACUCCAACGGGAGGCAGCAGUGGGGAAUAUUGCACACUGGGCGGAAGCCUGAUGCAGCAACGCCGCGUGCGGGAUGACGGCCUUCGGGUUGUAAACCGCUUUCGCCUGUGACGAAGCGUGAGUGACGGUAAUGGGUAAAGAAGCACCGGCUAACUACGUG
rnacentral:rRNA from 1 species